rnacentral:tRNA from 1 species
GGAGUUGUGGCAUAGGGGCAGAGCAUCUGCUUGGCAUGCAGAAGAAACCAGGUUCAAUCCCCGGCAGCAUCUCCA